CUGAUCAGUGGCGAACGGGUGAGUAACACGUGAGUAACCUGCCCCUGACUCUGGGAUAACCCCGGGAAACCGGAGCUAAUACCGGAUACGACACCAGCCUGCAUGGGCAUGGUGUGGAAAGUUUUUUCGGUCUGGGAUGGACUCGCGGCCUAUCAGCUUGUUGGUGAGGUAAUGGCUCACCAAGGCGACGACGGGUAGCCGGCCUGAGAGGGCGACCGGCCACACUGGGACUGAGACACGGCCCAGACUCCUACGGGAGGCAGCAGUGGGGAAUAUUGCACAAUGGGCGAAAGCCUGAUGCAGCGACGCCGCGUGAGGGAUGACGGCCUUCGGGUUGUAAACCUCUUUCAGCAGGGAAGAAGCGGAAGUGACGGUACCUGCAGAAGAAGCACCGGCUAACUACGUGCCAGCAGCCGCGGUAAUACGUAGGGUGCGAGCGUUGUCCGGAAUUAUUGGGCGUAAAGAGCUUGUAGGUGGUUUGUCGCGUCUGCUGUGAAAAUCCGAGGCUCAACCUCGGACUUGCAGUGGGUACGGGCAGACUAGAGUGUGGUAG
rnacentral:rRNA from 1 species